GAACUUAGCAGAGAUGCUUUGGUGCCUUCGGGAACUCUGAGACAGGUGCUGCAUGGCUGUCGUCAGCUCGUGUUGUGAAAUGUUGGGUUAAGUCCCGCAACGAGCGCAACCCUUAUCCUUUGUUGCCAGCGGUCCGGCCGGGAACUCAAAGGAGACUGCCAGUGAUAAACUGGAGGAAGGUGGGGAUGACGUCAAGUCAUCAUGGCCCUUACGAGUAGGGCUACACACGUGCUACAAUGGCGCAUACAAAGAGAAGCGACCUCGCGAGAGCAAGCGGACCUCAUAAAGUGCGUCGUAGUCCGGAUUGGAGUCUGCAACUCGACUCCAUGAAGUCGGGAUCGCUAGUAAUCGUGGAUCAGAAUGCCACGGUGAAUACGUUCCCGGGCCUUGUACACACCGCCCGUCACACCAUGGGAGUGGGUUGCAAAAGAAGUAGGUAGCUUAACCUUCGGGAGGGCGCUUACCACUUUGUGAUUCAUGACUGGGGUGAAGUCGUAACAAGGUAAGCGUAGUGCU
rnacentral:rRNA from 1 species